CGGGUCCUCCUCCCGGGGACAUCGCACUCCGGGCUCCGUCCUUCUCUGCCUCUCUGUCCCCGAAGGCUGGCGAGGAAAAAAAAAAACCCCACGUCGCGUCUGGCCCGGCAGACAGCGAACACCCUUUUCCACCGAUUCUUGUUUGUUCUCUGCCUGCCCCCCCCCCCUCUCCUCCUAGCAGCAGCAGCGGCGCAACAAAAGCGGAUUAUUCGCGAUGUUUUCGGCGUGGUGUAGAACCCGCGGAGAGAUACUGGUUCUCAGCCCAUUGCACCGGAGGACCGGCCGUGCCCGGUGAGGAAUGAGAAACGGCGGAACACGGUGCGGCGGGCAACGUGUUGUGCAUUCUUCAGCAGGAGCACACCGUGGGUGUGAAUGACUUGUGGCUGUAGGCUGUCGUGAGUGGGCCCGGUUCCUACACACAGCCUCCGUGGCUGACUGGGGGGGGAGAGCAGACAUCAGUGCCCAGGGGACCAUAGGCCUGGUUCUCCACAUGAGGCCCUGCUGAAAGGGCAGGGGGGCUUCUGAGUGUGCCCGAGGGCCGUUGAAAGCCCCCUUGGGGGAGUUUCAUAAAUACACCCCGAACAAGAAAAGACUCCUGGACUACUGUUAUUGUUUUUACAC